rnacentral:rRNA from 1 species
AGUGAACGCUGGCGGUAGGCCUAACACAUGCAAGUCGAACGGCAGCACAUUAAGAGCUUGCUCUUACGGGUGGCGAGUGGCGGACGGGUGAGGAAUACAUCGGAAUCGACUUUUUCGUGGGGGAUAACGUAGGGAAACUUACGCUAAUACCGCAUACGACCUACGGGUGAAAGCAGGGGAUCUUCGGGCCUUGCGCGAUUGAAUGAGCCGAUGUCGGAUUAGCUAGUUGGCGGGGUAAAGGCCCACCAAGGCUACGAUCCGUAGCUGGUCUGAGAGGAUGAUCAGCCACACUGGAACUGAGACACGGUCCAGACUCCUACGGGAGGAAGCAGUGGGGAAUAUUGGACAAUGGGCGAAAGCCUGAUCCAGCAAUACGGCGUGGGUGAAGAAGGCCUUCGGGUUGUAAAGCCCUUUUGUUGGGAAAAAAAAGCAGCAGGUUAAUACCGCGCUGUUCUGACGGUACCGAAAGAAUAAGCAACGGCUAACUUCGUG